rnacentral:rRNA from 1 species
AACGAACGCUGGCGGCAUGCCUAACACAUGCAAGUCGAACGAGACCUUCGGGUCUAGUGGCGCACGGGUGCGUAACGCGUGGGAACCUGCCUUUAGGUUCGGAAUAACUCAUUGAAAUUUGAGCUAAUACCGGAUGAUGUCUUCGGACCAAAGAUUUAUCGCCUUUAGAUGGGCCCGCGUUGGUUUAGCUGGUUGGUGGGGUAAAGGCCUACCAAGGCUACGAUCCAUAGCUGGUCUGAGAGGCUGAUCAGCCACACUGGGACUGAGACACGGCCCAGACUCCUACGGGAAGGAGGAGUGGGGAAUAUUGGACAAUGGGGGAAGGCCUGAUGCAGCAAUGCCGGGUGAGUGAUGAAGGCGUUAGGGAUGUAAAGCUCCUUUACCCGAGAUGAUAAUGACAGUAUCGGGAGAAUAAGCUCCGGCUAACUCCGUG